rnacentral:misc_RNA from 1 species
GAGUAAUAGUACUUUUUGUUGCAACGAACAAUUACUGCUUAUCUUUUCGCGCUUACAUUGUAAAAGACAUUGUAGACUUCGCUCAGCUCUAUGUCACUAGUCCAGAAUUUCUGCACAUUUUCAAGAUUGUUGAUAAAGUUUUUAAUAUUCGUUACCUUACAUUACGCAAUGGAGCAUUCAUACUGGAUAAACUAUUUUCACAGAUGCGGUACAAACAAUGUUGAACGAAGCAGUGUUAAAUUAUGCAGACAUGCCUCCUGAUGCUGCAGCUCCUGCUGUUCUUUCUGGAGCUGGAUAUAUGUGUCGUCAAGUGGAUGACUUUUGGGUUGAUCUUCUUCUUUGGGUGACUCUGGUUGUGACAUGGGCAAAUUCAGCUGUAGUUCUACAAAUACAUAUAAAUUGUUUUUAAACCGUGACCGCAGAUAAUGAUAAGAAGGUAUUGCCCAUUAGAAUGCAACGUGUUUGUCUGCAAUCAGACUGGUACAUGCCUCUAACUAGCUACGGAUCCAACGAGAGCGAAGGAUAUGAGCGUAUAACAAAAUGAAUCAAUCUACGCAAUCGAUAUUAUUCUAGUAACUCGUUCUUCCCGAAGCAUCUAUUCACGCUUCUGUGUACUAUGUUUUUGUACCAUCUAUGAAAUUUUAAUAAAAGAAGCGUCUUGUAUCUCGUACGUAACGUACAGUUAAAAAGUUAAUUCACUGUAAUUCAAAUUUUAAUAUUAGGACCAACGUUUGUCUUUAGUAGGUUGUUUCAUUUCUCCAAUAAAUUAAUGGAAAAAUUAGUCAUGAAAGUAACACUUUCAUUUUAAUAUAUGAAUGGUAUAGUUUAAUGAUUCAUAGCAAAUUUUAAGGAAUAUUUAUUUAGUUAGAAAGAAAACAGAGAUUUUCUCCGAUCGAUUGUACGCAUCAUAGUUUCUAUGUGGGAUGCAGUAUUCUU